rnacentral:rRNA from 1 species
UGGGGAAUUUUUCGCAAUGGGGGAAACCCUGACGAAGCAACGCCGCGUGGAGGAUGAAGGCCUUCGGGUCGUAAACUCCUGUCGACCGGGACGAAAGUAGUCUGGCCCAAUACGCCGGGCUAUCGACUGUACCGGUGGAGGAAGCCACGGCUAACUCUGUGCCAGCAGCCGCGGUAAUACAGAGGUGGCAAGCGUUGUUCGGAAUUACUGGGCGUAAAGGGCGCGUAGGCGGCCUUCCAAGUCCUGUGUGAAAUCCCUCGGCUCAACUGAGGAAUUGCACGGGAAACUGUUUGGCUUGAGUUCGGGAGAGGGAAGCGGAAUUCCGGGUGUAGCGGUGAAAUGCGUAGAUAUCCGGAGGAACACCGGUGGCGAAGGCGGCUUCCUGGACCGACACUGACGCUGAGGCGCGAAAGCUAGGGGAGCAAACGGGAUUAGAUACCCCUGUAGUCC